AGAGGGAAAGAAAGGGAGGGGUUGGAGCAGCGAAAGUACGCACGCUGGGGGAGGAGGAGGAAACGGAGCAGCCGGUCACACCUUCCAGAGCUCCCGGGUCCUGGCCCGGGCUCCCCUGGUAGCCAGAGCUGGGGCUCAGGCAAGGAGUCGGGCACAGGUGGUAUCGGUAUGUUCCGAGAAGUCCACAGCACAAAAGACGGAGCUUUAGGGGGAAGCUGCGUUUCUCUUUCCUGCUUUUGGGAAAGGUUCGGUUAAUCAACAGCCGUGGCGUCGAGUGCCUGCCACGUGCAGACGCCGCGAGGCACGAAGCUGCGGUGCCACCCUGUCCCGGCCUCUGGGGCACUCAGCACCCCCCGGGGACGGCGUUGGUUAUUUUCCAUCUCCUAUGCUUCCUAGAAGUGUAUUCUGCACUGAACGGGCAGACCAGCUAUCGCUGAUGAACAUUUGAAGAAAUGAAGCUACUUACAUUGAGAUUUUUUUAAACAAAAAUGCAGAUUUGAAUAGUUAACAUUUUAGUUUCGCAAAUGAGAAAGUUUUGGAGAUUAGGGUCAAAAAAUGCGAAUGUCCUUAAACUCCUGAACUGUACACUUAAAAAGUGGCUAAGGUGGUGGGUGAGUUUUAGGUUACAGUAUAUGCAUCUUACUAGAGUGAAAAAAUUUAAGUGGAAUACUAGAAAUAUAGGACGACUGUGGCUUUUGAAACGUUAAAACAAGGUGGAAAACUAAUUUUCCAAUAUUAGUGUUCUUAUUGAUGUCGGCUAUUUGUGUUUUUUCAACACAAACUAAAUCACACUGCCUGAAACAACCUCUUACUCUGAAAGCAAGUGACAUGAAAAUAGAACUGCUGAGAAGACAUUUCCUCCUGCUGCAAUUUCGCCAAACAGCUGAGGCGAACUCGGUAAGCACACUGCACAGUGCUCGCUGAUACCUGUGAGGAGCCUGCUGCCGAGCUUAGGAAGAGCCUGUGCCCACAGGAAGCACCGGAGACGCUGGGCUCCCGCUCUGCAGGGGCUGAGGGGUCACUGGAUCGCGCAGCACGGAGGCUGCCCGCGGCUGAAGGGUCCCGCACGGGGGCGCCCAGGCAGGCUCAGCAGCGGAGGCCAGGCCUUCCCUUUGCACCGCGGCCCGAAGGGACAGGGCGGGGCGGCACCGUGCUGGGUGCGCUCAGCGUGGAGAAGAUGAACCCUGCGGCGCCCCCAGUUCCUCGUCUGCGCCCGCACGCGGGGAACAGAUCUGCCCCAAGGCCUCGGGCCGCGGUGUGCAGCACGCCCUCCCCGCCCGAUGGAGGAGGAGGAAAGAGACUUGAGAAGCUUCCACCAGGGCUGGCGUUUACACUGGGGUGAGAACCGAAAGGGGGCUGCCGUGCUGUGGAUCUGUGCAGGAGCCCAGCAAGGCUAAACACUGCUUUUCUACCAAAAGGACUGGACUGAAACAAGGAACAUUUCAAAGUGAAAGUCUUUUUUGAUAAAUGCUCACAUUUCUUAGAUCUGCCAACUGCGAGGGCCGCAGGAAGUACAAGGAAGCAGCUGUGUGCCGGCGCUUGCGAACAAACUCCUUCCUGCAGCCAGGGUAGUGUGUGCCCGGGUGAUGGUCUCUGCAGGGCAGUCCCUCUGUGUGACGGUCUCGGGAGGCAGGGAGGUGACAAAGGCGGUGGGCGACAGGAACCUCAGGGCGCGCCUUCGGAAGGAGGCUGCGGCUCAAGGCUGUUGGUCAGGUGGGAGAAGCCAGGAAAAGGCCCAAGUCCGUGGUUCAUGGGUUCAUGGGUUCAUGUUAUCAAAUUGAGGCUAAACCGGACUUCCCCGACGCUGCUGUACGCAAGCCGUGUCUGGAGUUCCAGGACGCGCACUUUUCACAUGUUGGUAAAUGGAAAUUGAUUUCAUCAAAACGGCUUAACUGAGCCUCCCCUGCCACGUUCAGAAAGCGUGCAGGGAGUUUGAAUAAAAACUGAGAAACCGGAAGGGCCAUGGCUGAGAGGCGAGGGGAUUCAUGUUUCACACUGUAGCGGGAAUCCGUGAGAGCCGAGGACCGCAACCCCCAGAUAGCCAGGAAGCCCAAAACGGAGGCUGCUGAGUCACAACCCUCCAGGGGUCUUACAGCAAACCUGCCAAGUCUCCCCGGCUGCCCGGGAGCUCUGAGAGCAUGACUGCAGGCCAUGGGCUCCUGCAGGGGCCCCACAUGGGCGCUAGGUGAGCACUGCACAGGCUGGACCUUAAAAGAGUAGUCGACUCCUCUAGGGUAGAGGUUGUAUUGCCUACACAGUGGCCCAAGCUCCCUUCUAAGCCCCUCAAAAACCCCUAGCUAAAGAACCCUUGUGGCUACCCUACUCUGCACCCCCAGUAAAGCUAGCCAGGAGCUUUAGUUUCUUCCCUUUAUAUCUUUUAAGUAAAUUUGUACCCUUACCCCUUCUGUCUGCACUUCCAUUUUUCGUCACCGUUGGACACAAUCCCUGCGUUCUGCAUACCUCAUAGUAGAGGAGAACUGUAACAAAUGCUUUGGUACAAAGUCGGUCUCUUCCCUGCAGUUACCUCUAAGGAAGGAGAAAAAAAUUCCCAGGCCAUUUCAGCAGGUAAAAUGCAUCUUCUGAGGAAUGUCACACCGUGCCGAGGGGCUGUCCCCGGGAACCAGCCAGGGCUCUGAGAAGUCCGGGAGACCCAGCCUCCUGCUCCUCUUCCCCCGGCCCAGCAGUGACGAGUCCUCCCCAGAGCACCGGUCAUCUGCUCCGUCCUCUCGGGUGGCCGGCAGGAGACCCUGGGUGGCGGCCGCUUUCUGCCCUGGAAAUCUGUAUCUAACAAACCCAGGAUGAACGUCUCCGAGACUCAAGCGCAGCCUGGACUGUGUGGUGGGGAGAGACGCUCGUGCAAGGCGAGCAGCAGGAGGUCUCCAGGCUUCUCUAAAUCUCGCGAGGAAACAGCCCAUCUGCCUGAGGCCCGUGGCGCGCUCUGCUGUGUCGUGGGGGGGGGGCAUGAAACGGGGUGCACGCAGCACUGGCCUCGGGCUCUAGAGCUGUCUUCACUUUGAAUGGCCCCGUGGGCUUUAAAUUUAUAAAACACGAUAAACUCUCGAGAGGGGAAAUUUCACAUAAAACCUAGACUUUUCAUAUUACAAACUAUAUGCCCCAUUCUAUUCUUACUUUUUAUGCAGUCACUAAUGAUAUACCAGUAUUUUGAAAUUUUAGCUGGAAUAUAGCUCUCUGCUUCAAAAUGAAACAAACCUGGAACCAGAAUUUAAGCUGAUGAAAGUAAUGGUCCAUCAGCUGGAAGCACUGGAAUCUGCCUGUAGUCCGGUUUGUCGGGAGGCUGAGACAGGAGCAGCCCUUGAGCCUUAGGAGUUCAAGGCCAGCCUGGGCAACAUGGAAUUGGGGGAGGGUUGUCAAUCAGCCCAGGGCUUUUUGCUCAGUUCGGAUGGAAAUCGUGAAUUGAGAAAAGUAGCUUGGCUAGCAGCCCUGAUGUCACCAGAUGACACCAGGUAGUGCUAAGUGACAACAGUGGAUAUAGUUGGCAACUGUAUUUCAUGAGAUUUUUUUCAAGUUUUUUUUUUCCCCCCCUAUGCCUAAUAAUGCUACCUCCGUUCAGGUACAUGUCUUUUGAUGUACCUGUGCUCUCCUAGAAUAUGCUCAUCUUUAGAGCUGGAGUACAAUGAAAGCACAAUAUUCUCCCAGCUGGAAGUAAAGAGUUCUCACUGCUCCAUAUCCUUGCCAACACUUGAAAUUGUCAGUCUUUAACUCUGGCGAUUCAGGAGGGUAGUAUCUUAUUGUGAGCUGAAUCUGGAUUUACAUGCUUAAGAUGCCAUUUGGGUACCUUUUGCAAAUCAAGAGUUCAGGUUCUAGACUCACUUUUUAUUAGAUUUUCAGUCUCUUACUGAUCUAUAGGACUACUUUACAUAUUUUGGAUGAGACUCUUGUGCCAGUUAUGUGUGUUAUAUAUAUCUACUCUGACUGGCCUCUUCACUUUAAUGGUUUCUUUUGAUAAAUUGAACUAAUUUAAAUUAAGAAUUUAUUAGUAUCUUCCUUUGUAGUUGCUGCUUUUUGCCAUCUGCUUAAAUCUUUCCCUACUCAAGGUCAUAAAUAUCACUUAUAAAAGUAUUUAACAUUCCUAUUUAAAGCUACAUUCUUAAAUUGUUUUUGUGGCUAGUAUAAGGUAUGCUUCAAUGUAUCGAAAUAUGACACAAUCCUAUUAAUAUUUACUUAAAAGCACUGAAAAUGUCUUCAAAUAAAAAAUUGCCAAUUUAAAAUUUCUUUCACAUGGCUACCACAAUGACCUAGUGCCAUUUACUUUUAAAUGUUGUUUGCUCCUUUUUCUGUGCUGGGCGUUGAAUCCAGGGCUUUCAUACUGAGCUACACCUCCAGUCCUUAUUAUUAUUAUUUUUUUUUUACUUUGAGACAGAUCUGAAGUCAUUAAUUUUCCCAGGCUAGGCUUGAACUUGCAGUCCUUUGGGAAGGUGAGGUGUAAGAGUGCUGAGAUUCCAGGGUUGUGCCACCGUGCCUGGCUCUACCCGUAUACUUAACAUUACGUUCUUUGCCAGAGAGCACACGCCCACACAGGAGGCUCCAGACUGGGACUCUGAUCUUUUCCACUGGUCUGUCUGCUGUUCCGGGCUCAGUAGUACUGCCUUAAUUCCGUCACUUUAGGGUGAGCCUCUAUAUUCAAAGUAUAGCUUCUCUUAUUAUUUUGUUCUUUAACAACGUCUUGGCUUUUCUUGGCCUUUCCUAUCUCUCAUAAAUUUAGAAUCAUAUAUUGUCAAUUUCUUUUUGAAACCCUGAGGGGACUUUUACUCAGUUGGAUGUAUUUUAGUAUUAGUUUUCAAUUGGCUUUUAUUUAUCUUCCCAGCCUGUUUGAUUUCUAUUUUGAUAAGGCAUUAUAAUAGUUUUAUUAUGGAUGACAAUAGCAGGAUUGCUAACUAUCAGAAAGCAGGGACAGUAUUUUAUAUACUUUUAAAAUGUUAAACAUGUCCUGCAAAAUGGAUCUUUCAGAUAAGGUUUGUAACUAGUAAUUGCAACAGAUAUGUUAGCAUGACCAUGCCAUCAAGAUUUGGGGGAUCAAUCUGGUGUUUUAUGGGAACAUCCAUGUCCCGGGAGAAACAGAUGGAACUUUGUCUCUGCAGAAACAACACUGGCAGCCUUUUCAAAUUGCAAUGAGCCCAGAUUUCUUAAAAAUAUUUUUGAAUGUUUUAGAUGACAAUCUCUAAAACUGAGACAAGCGAUAAGCAUUUUUUGUUGUUGGUACAGGGGGUUGAACUCGGAACCUUGCACUUUUGCAAGGCAGGCGCUGGAACCACUGAGCUAAAUCCACGGCCCAUAUUCUACAUUUUAAAUGUUGUAUUUUGGAUGACAGUCUUUAAAACUGAGAUAAGCAUAUCCUAAAUCUCCUAGAUGACCUUUUAAAAAAUAACCAAGCCAUGUAAUUUCUAUGCCCAGAAUUGCAAUAAGCCAGUGAUGCAUAAAUGUCUCUGUUUCCAAAGCAGAUGCCACUGAUUCCUCAGGUCCCUGUGGGCCUUGCAUCACCUGGCAAACGUGAAACAGCUGGCUGAGGGCUUUCCAUGGUCUCGUGUGAUAGGUCGGAAAGUACGGAGUCGCCCACUCACGUCUGAUAAUUAACGUUAUUAUUACUUGAAACCCGUGGAUUACCACACUAAAGUAAAGAUGCCUUCAUAAAAAUCUAUACUAAUAUCGCAAAUUUAUUAGUAUAAAAAAAUUCAAUUUCAUCUUAUGAGUGUGCUACCUUAGUUCAACAACCAGUCUCCAACGUGAGAGGCAGCUGCCUGGCACCGCCUUUCUGUGUGUCUAGACCACUGGCCACGGAGGUGGCGUCUCGUGGAACCUGACUGCUGGCUCAUCAUCCGGAGCGACAGAGGCGCCGAAGCCUGUUCCUCCGGCGAAGCCGCCCCGCACCCAAC
ensembl:lncRNA